CUUUUUUGGUGUAUAGUUUUCAAGGGGCGAAACCCCUCCACAAAUAUGAACAUAUUCUAGUUUGUCAUAUCACACCCAUGUACAAUGGUACCUCUCCUUAUGGACCCGUCUCUAAGAGGAACAUCUCUUUUACUUAUGAUAUGCAUGAUACCAUGUCCUAUGUCCCCCCUCAAAAAGUACUCUUAUACAACGGAGACUAAAUCUCCGUACCUGCAAGCAAGCACAAGGGAAAAUGUUUUAUUAAUUCAUUUAUUUUUACCCCAAUAUGCCCCUAAACAAAUUAAACAGCAUCUCAAACAAUUUUCGAUUCGGAUGAUCCUGCAAGGACAUGGAAAUCUAUUCUGUGUGUCUGAAAUGCAAUAUAUGUG